rnacentral:rRNA from 1 species
GAUGAACGCUGGCGGCGUGCCUAAUACAUGCCAGUCGAGCGAACGGACGAGAAGCUUGCUUCUCUGAUGUUAGCGGCGGACGGGUGAGUAACACGUGGAUAACCUACCUAUAAGACUGGGAUAACUUCGGGAAACCGUAGCUAAUACCGGAUAAUAUUUUGAACCGCAUGGUUCAAAAGUGAAAGACGGUCUUGCUGUCACUUAUAGAUGGAUCCGCGCUGCAUUAGCUAGUUGGUAAGGUAACGGCUUACCAAGGCAACGAUGCAUAGCCGACCUGAGAGGGUGGACGGCCACACGGGAACUGAGACACGGUCCAGACUCCUACGGGAGGCAGCAGUAGGGAAUCUUCCGCAAUGGGCGAAAGCCUGACGGAGCAAAGCCGCGGGAGUGAUGAAGGUCUUCGGAUCGUAAAACUCUGUUAUUAGGGAAGAACAUAUGUGUAAGUAACUGUGCACAUCUUGACGGUACCUAAUCAGAAAGCCACGGCUAACUACGUG